rnacentral:rRNA from 1 species
AACGUAGGCGGCAAGCGUUAUCCGGAUUUACUGGGCGUAAAGGGUGUGCAGGCGGGGUGGCAAGUGGUGUAUGAAAUAUCCCAGCUUAACUGGGAAGGGUUAUGCCAGACUGUCAUUCUAGAGUGCGAGAGAGGGGCGUGGAAUUCCGGGUGUAGUGGUGAAAUGCGUAGAGAUCCGGAGGAACCCCAGAGGCGAAGGCGGCGCCCUGGCUCGCAACUGACGCUCAGGCACGACAGCAUGGGGAGCGAACGGG